rnacentral:lncRNA from 1 species
GUGCCGGUUCUCAGAGACCCCCUCCCUCUGCCCUCUCCAGCCUCCUCUGGUUGGCAUCUGGAGCUCUGCCCUGAGCAGAUGGGGGUGGGGGUGACAGAGAAAGCCAGGUUGCAGCUGACGGAAUUUGCUGUUGGCAGAGACUGCCUGCUGCCAGACAAGGUUGUGUCUGUUCCACAAAAGCCCAGCUCCCUCUGCCAGGAGCUCUUGGCACCGGAGGUCACCAAGCCCGCUGUGGGGCCUACCUACGCCAUCAACAGUGAUGAUGUCUCAUGUAUGAAUAAUGCCUUGACAGAGCGUUUCUCAACUCCUUCCUGCAAAGAAGGGAUCAGAGAGUCUAGGGGGAAGGAUGUGCGGAGAAGCAGCUGAGCUAACAUUAGCUUCAUCUGCUGAAGGUGCUGAUGAGCUAACGUGUGGAAUGGGGAGGACCGAGCAGUUCACAGGAAGGCCACUGGGCUGCACACCCUCUGAGAGCAGGACUUAGUGACUUCUGCCGUCUGGCGGAUCUUCUGUCCUCGAGCGCCACCACCACUGGCCAGCGGGUCGGGUGGUGUGUAGAUGUUUACGGCGGACCUUCCAGCGAGGGUCCCGUGGGAUGAGAGGAUACUUCCUCGUUCCUUUACUGGGUUACAGCCCAAGAACCGGAAUGGCUGGAACCAGAUGGAGUCCGAGCCCUCACCGGUCCAGGAGCCAGGGGCUGAAACACUGUCUCUGCCCAGGACCAUGGUGUACACAAUGCAUUUGUACUGGAAUCCUGAAGUGUCCCCCAAAACGCAGCUCAAGUAACCACCCCCCCCACUGCGCCCCAACAGGGCUCUGUUCAGUAUAGGGUCACAUUGGCAGAAGCAAGCCAUUCAAAUAACACUAAUUAAAGUAAUUCCAAUAUUGGAUCAGUUUUCUCAUAAAACAUUAAAGGAAAUAGAAUUGUAAGCAGUAACAGCCUUCUCUUAAAAAAAAAAAAAGCUUAAAAAAAAUCAAUAAACAACUUUCCCAA